UACGUACUGCGCGAACGUUAUUCGGAAUCACUGGGCUUAAAGGGUGCGUAGGCGGCGCGGCAAGUCGGGUGUGAAAUCGUGGGGCCUAACCCCACGGCUGCGCCCGAGACUGCCGUGCUGGAGGCGGCCAGGGGUGUGUGGAACUGCCAGUGGAGCGGUGAAAUGUGUUGAGAUUGGCAGGAACGCCGGAGGCGAAAGCGACACACUGGGGCCGGCCUGACGCUGAGGCACGAAAGCUAGGGGAGCGAACGGG
rnacentral:rRNA from 1 species